UCUCUCUCUCGACAGCAUACUAUCCCACAUAAGGGCAAUUUGAGCCCUCCAACUUAGCAAUGCAAAUAAUCUGGAUCGGUGGUGGUCUACCUUCGCCUAGGCGCCCAAGCGUAUAGGUGUGGCCUGGUACCGCAGACGCCUAACGCCUAGCGCCUUGCUAGUGUCGACUCGAAAUUUGCCCAUCGACCGCCUUGGCGCGGUCCUCCAAGGCACCGUCAGGUUUGCUAAUUAUCAGUUUCGCAGAGUUCAUAAAACAUAAUCGUCCACUCGCACGCAACUUCUUUUCUCAAUCCGCACAGUUUUGCCUCUUUUCGACAAAACGGCUCACUUUGGUUAGGUUUUCAGCCCUGUGGAGCUAUCGUUGUCUCUAUCUGGCUUUUUGGUUGCUACAUCUACUUGGCCAUUGCAGAAAUAUGUUUUCAAUGAUAUUAAGGGUUGGGACUUGGGAGAAUUCAAGUCUCAAGGAACAUUAAUGGUUCACCUUUGGAAUUCCCUGUAUGACCCUACUGUGAGCUCUUGGCUGCAAAUCACCGUAGAUGCCAGACAAGAAAGGCUGAUCCUUGAAAAUCUGAAGUCGAUCAAUGAAUUUCCUGACAUGAAUAGCAUGGAUGAAUUGAUAUGCAGAUGUGAUGUCCAUGCAAGUUUAGCUUUACUUAGGAGUUUAUCUCAUGAGGAUUGACAAUUGUGCUGAUGCUGUUAAAAGCUGAUUUUAGAAUUGCUUAGGCAGGUGCGAUAUAGAACUCUGAAAUAUCUUGCAGGGGAAGCUAGUUGGGUGAUGUGAGGUAUGAGGUAAAGUGGUAAACUAUUGUUUUAUGACAUUUACAUCCAUAAUGUCUUCUACCAUAUUUGACAUUGUUCCUAGUGGUUCUUCCUCUACAGUUCCCCUCCACGUGUUUUCUUUUUCCUUUUUUAUGCUUAUAUGCAUUUACUAACGCCCAUGUCCUCUUUCAGUGGUUCCUGUUACUUCGAAAAUUUACUCAUGUUUGCUCUUAUCAAGUGAUGUAUAGCAGCAUGGACAUGUAGAUGUAGUCUUCCUCAGAGCCACUAUUACCCUUUUGGUGUAUUGGACAUGCUUCUAGCUUUAUAAAGGAAAGCAGAUGGCCUAACCUGUAAAGGAUUCCAUGUCCUCUCUAUAUAUAUAAAUGUUGAUACUUGAAUA